rnacentral:rRNA from 1 species
GAUGAACGCUGGCGGCGUGCCUAAUACAUGCAAGUCGAGCGAACAGACGAGAAGCUUGCUGCUCUGACGUUAGCGGCGGACGGGUGAGUAACACGUGGAUAACCUACCUAUAAGACUGGGAUAACUUCGGGAAACCGGAGCUAAUACCGGAUAAUAUUAUGAACCGCAUGGUUCAAUAGUGAAAGACGGUUUUGCUGUCACUUAUAGAUGGAUCCGCGCUGCAUUAGCGAGUUGGUAAGGUAACGGCUUACCAAGGCGACGAUGCAUAGCCGACCUCUGGGGGUGAUCGGCCACACUGGAACUGAGACACGGUCCAGACUCCUACGGGAGGCAGCAGUAGGGAAUCUUCCGCAAUGGGCGAAAGCCUGACGGAGCAACGCCGCGUGAGUGAUGAAGGUCUUCGGAUCGUAAAACUCUGUUAUUAGGGAAGAACAUAUGUGUAAGUAACUGUGCACAUCUUGACGGUACCUAAUCAGAAAGCCACGGCUAACUACGUG